UAAUUUAAAUAUGCAUAAAUUUAGUUUCGACCUAAAUAAAGAAUUUAAUUAA
rnacentral:tRNA from 1 species